rnacentral:lncRNA from 1 species
GGGGGGGUGAAUUGGUUUCUUUUACUUUUAACUAUCUUACUUGUGUUAAAUGAUGAGUUAGUAAACUUAAACAAAUCACAAUACAAACAACAAGAAGUAUAGUGGUUCGGUGCUCUCCUUAGCACCUACGUCCACUCCCCAAGCGACCCCUUGGGAAUUCACUAUAAUCCCGCGGAUUACAGUUGGAUUGUUUUCCAGGCUCACAAUCCAAAAACCUUUACACUUUGGUUUUCCGGGUUCACUAAAAACCUAUGUUGGUUUUACGGGCUCACCAACGAACCUAUGUUGGUUUU